CAUAAUGCAUUACUCAAAUUGUAGUGACAAUUUAGACAAAGAAAAGGUAUUUACAAAGUGUCAUGUGUACACGUAUGAAUCAAUAUGUAGUCAUCCGCAAGUAUCUACAACAUAGUAGUUUACAAAAUCAUCCAUGAAAUGGUAUUUUACAACCUAGAUUGAUAAAAAUAUAUCACUCAACAAUUUAGAAAACAGUGCAAUCCAGUUCGAACAAACAAAACACUUAAACUAUUGAAGUUCUUGUCGUCGGCCCUCCUGAUGGAAACCUUGAUGGAAACUAUCACGUCAUCCAAAUUGUGAUGGAAACCUUGAUGGAAACUAUCACGUCAUCCAAAUUGUGAUGGCAGCACCAAGUAGCCGAGUACACAAUCAUACCUAGCAUAUUUACAAAACAAUUAGAUAUUUGUAGGUAUGAAUAGAUAGUAGAAACAAGAGAACUGCAACAAAUGUAAACAUGAAAAUCUAUUAUAUAAUUAUAAAACGAUACAAAACAAAUGGCAUAGAUGUAACAAUAAAAGAGCUAAAAAGAAUGGAUGUGAUCAAACAAAGUUUAUCAAACGAAGCCUAUGACUGAGAAGUGCAAAACAAAACACAUGGAAGGAAACUUGCCAUCUCUUCACAAAAAAGAAGACACUUCCCAUCAUCACGUGUGUUGUACAGACAUACAAUAAGUUCUCGAAUAUAACUAUGCUAUUAGAAAAUCAAUCAACGUGAUGCUAAAAAAUCUUCUUACCUACAAGGAAAUAUAUUACAAAGCCUAGCCCCCUUGUACAUAGCACACGUACAUGAACGAGCAGAAUUUGCCCAACAUUCAAACAGCCAUCCAACAAAAAUGGGUGUACUUCAUGGUCAUAGUAAUACCUUGCUUUCAACGAAAAAUUUAAUUUCCCUAUUUGUAUGACAACAAUACAAAUCAGUAAAAAUAAAAGAAUGUCUAUCAACCUAUUUUAGAUGUCGGGACAAAUUAUUAGUAAAAACUAAAACACGCCAUACAUAUACACUGAAGUUUUCUCUAGAGCAUAAUUUACAAUGGAUUUUCAAAAUAAUUACAUUGCUUCCAUAGAUGAAUAAUUAUACACAGAAAUAUUCUCUAGAUGAAUGGCUUAUGUAGAUGAAUCAAUGGGCAAUGGAAAAUGUAUCCCUUAAGUGUAAUGGUUGGUGGUGUCCAGAUUAUUAUUAUUUUCUUCCUAGAAAACUAUUAGCAAAAGCACAAAUACGAAUACACUCGCUAAUGUCCACACCCUCUAAUAUUUUCUGAAGAUUGAUUUUACUUAGCUGAAUUUUGAGUACAAAUUUCCAAUGGUUUACUCUGUAGAAUGUUUUCACAGUUAUAGCUAACUUGGUCUAAGAAUAUGAAAUUGUCUACACUAGCUGACUUAGUUAUUUCUCCUCUGCUUUAGCUUUUAAAUAUGAUAUUUUAAAAGCAAUCUCUGAAUUUACUAUAUCUGACUAGCUGUACUGCAUCACAAUAUUACCUUCAGUGAAAUAUUACCUUCAACAUUGCCUUGAGUACACGUGCACCACACAAGGCCGGUCCUAAGAUUUGGGGGCCCGGGGCGAAACUAAAACUUAGAGGCCCUUGACAGAAAUAUGAGAAUAUUAGGCUAUGAAGAAAGUACACACUAUGUGUGAUGCAAAGUCAUGUUUAAUGCUUGAAUUACACGUGUAGGAGUAUAUUAUUUCAGGUGUCAAAAGGGACAGAAGACUCCAAAAAUGGUCCAAAAAUAAUUUGCAUCCAAAAUACAUGGUUGCAUUCACAUUUUGAGUCCUUCCAAUGACUAUUGUAAGACUGUUACAGCAAACAUGAGUAUAUGAGGAUUUAGAUAGAUGAGAAAAUCAAUACGAGUGAUGUGGAAAUAUUUUGUCAUAUCUUCUAAACUUACCUUUGUAUCUUUAAAAAUCAAAUUAUAUAGUGCCGAGAUAGUGAAAAGUUACUCCCGCGAAGUUGUAGGGAUGAUUAAAUUAAUAAUUUGUUACCCAAUUGUGCUAUCAUUGCUGAGUUCAUCUAUAAACUCACCACUAUGAGCAGCAUCCAAACCUCGUUCUUGCUUGAGAU
rnacentral:lncRNA from 1 species